UACGUAGGGUGCAAGCGUUAAUCGGAAUACUGGGCGUAAAGGGUGCGUAGGCGGUCGGGUAAGUCUGACGUGAAAUCUCCGGGCCUAACCCGGAAACUGCGUCGGAUACUAUCCGGCUAGAGGAUUGGAAGGGGAGACUGGAAUACUUGGUGUAGCAGUGAAAUGCGUAGAUAUCAAGUGGAACACCAGUGGCGAAGGCGAGUCUCUGGACAAUUCCUGACGCUGAGGCACGAAAGCCAGGGGAGCAAACGGG
rnacentral:rRNA from 1 species